rnacentral:rRNA from 1 species
GACGAACCGUACGAACGUUAUUCGGAAUCACUGGGCUUAAAGCGUGUGUAGGUGGAUCGGUAAGUACCUUGUGAAAUCCCACGGCUUAACCGUGGAACUGCUUGGUAUACUGCCAGUCUUGAGCCAGCUAGGGGCUACCGGAACAAAUGGUGGAGCGGUGAAAUGCGUAGAUAUCAUUUGGAACGCCAAUGGUGAAAACAGGUAGCUGGGGCUGUGCUGACACUGAGACACGAAAGCCAGGGGAGCAAACGGG